ACUAAUUUUUUUAAUAUUCUAUUUGAAUUAUUUUAUUUUCGACUUGAAUUGGGAAGUGGGGAUACUCGGCUUCGUAAGACGACAACAAAAUCGGACUUUCGAAUAACUUUGACAGUUACUGCUUCAGUCUUGCUUUGAAUUUCGACGAGUACACAUCGCAGUUUUCCUAAAUGAAAUGGUAAAGUGGGGAUACUCUCCCACCCGUGACGAAAACAAAAUCGGACCUUCGAAUAACUUUGACAGUUACUGCUUCAGUCUUGCUUUGAAUUUCGACGAGUACACAUCGCAGUUCUCCCAGUACGCAUUCUCCGUCAGUAAUAACGAAGAAUUAAUACUUGAAUUGCGGAGUGGGGAUACUCGGCUUCGUGAGACGACAACAAAGUCGGACCUUCGAAUAACUUUGACAGUUACUGCUUCAGUCUUGCUUUGAAUUUCGACGAGUACACAUCGCAGUUCUCCCAGUACGCAUUCUCCGUCAGUAAUAACGAAGAAUUAAUACUUGAAUUGCGGAGUGGGGAUACUCGGCUUCGUGAGACGACAACAAAGUCGGACCUUCGAAUAACUUUGACAGUUACUGCUUCAGUCUUGCUUUGAAUUUCGACGAGUACACAUCACAGUUCUCCCAGUACGCAUUCUCCGUCAGUAAUAACGAAGAAUUAAUACUUGAAUUGCGGAGUGGGGGUACUCUCCCACCCGUGACAAAAACAAAGUCGGACCGUCGAACGACUUUGACAGUUACUGCUUCAGUCUUGCCUUGAAUUUCGACGAGUACACAUCGCAGUUCUCCCAGUACGCAUUCUCCGUCAGUAAUAACGAAGAGUUAAUACUUGAAUUGCGAAGUGGGGAUACUCGGCUUCGUGAGACGACAACAAAAUCGGACCUUCGAAUAACUUUGACAGUUACUGCUUCAGUCUUGCUUUGAAUUUCGACGAGUACACAUCGCAGUUCUCCCAGUACGCAUUCUCCGUCAGUAAUAACGAAGAGUUAAUACUUGAAUUGCGGAGUGGGGAUACUCGGCUUCGCGAGACGACAACAAAGUCGGACCGUCGAACGACUUUGACAGUUACUGCUUCAGUCUUGCCUUGAAUUUCGACGAGUACACAUCGUAGUUCUCCCAGUACGCAUUCUCCGUCAGUAAUAACGAAGAAUUAAUACUUGAAUUGCGAAGUGGGGAUACUCUCCCACCCGUGACGAAAACAAAGUCGGACCGUCGAACGACUUUGACAGUUACUGCUUCAGUCUUGCCUUGAAUUUCGACGAAUACACGUCGCAGUUCUCCCAGUACGCAUUCUCCGCAAGUAAUAACGAAGAGUUAAUACUUGAAUUGCGAAGUGGGGAUACUCGGCUUCGUGAGACGACAACAAAAUCGGACCUUCGAAUAACUUUGACAGUUACUGCUUCAGUCUUGCCUUGAAUUUCGACGAGUACACAUCGCAGUUCUCCCAGUACGCAUUCUCCGUCAGUAAUAACGAAGAAUUAAUACUUGAAUUGCGGAGUGGGGAUACUCGGCUUCGCGAGACGACAACAAAGUCGGACCGUCGAACGACUUUGACAGUUACUAGUUCAGUUGUGCUUUGGCGUUCGACGAGGAAACUUAGAAAUUUUUGCAGAGGCCAUUCGUGCACGUAUUAACGAACAGACUUAAAUUGUGAAGUGGGGAUACUCAGCUUCGAGGGACGACAACAAAGUCGGUCAUUUGACCGACUUUAACAGUUACUGGUUCAGUUGUGCUUUGGCGUUUGACGAGGAAACUUAGAAAUUUUCGCAGGAUACCAUUCGGCGAGUAUUAACGAAGAGUUUACGGGACAUUGAUGAUCUAUCUUCACGAUUGGACUUAGAAAUUUUCGGACUUUCGAGGGACUUUGACAAUCUAUCUCCACCAGUGGACUUAGAAAUUUUCGCAGGGUGCCAUUCGAACGAGUAUUAACGAAGACUGAAAAACCUCAUUGCAAUCGCGCGCGUAGCAAUGAUGAAAUCGAGUGUUUAUACCGUUAAAAUAAAAUUAUCGCGAAGUAGAAGCAGUGUUUGUUCGUUCACGGUUCGCGAUUUAAACCAUAAGUGUUUUUGCAUAGACUGCGUGCAAUGCAGUUGUUAGAGUCAGUGUUUGCUCGUAAAGUAUUUUUCAUUUUAACAGUCGCACAGACUGUACUUAUAAAAGAUAGUAGUAUUUCGCGAAAUAAAUUCAGUGAUCGUUCGUUAAUAAAUAACUACCGCGAAUUAGAGUCAGUGCUUCACUGAAGAGGAUCUCGACCAACUUCGAUGUCGACCUACCUCAUUUUCAACCAACUACAAAUCAUCCACCCUCAAUUUCGACCUAAGUCGCGGUCCAGUGUUUUGGAGCCGUCGCAGAACUUCUUAAGUAGUAAGUUAAUUUUUUAAUUCCUCCGAUCACUCAAUCAUGUCGAGGACGAAAGGUCCGAAUCGGCACGGGUGAUUGGUUGUAAUUAAUUAGUAGAAGAGCAAUGAGUGACCACGAGUAAAUUUCUUCGGAGAUUUACUCGUGAAUGGUAUGUUAUUUACGAUUUAUUUAUUAGAUCAGGAUAGAGUCUUCUUGUUAA